CCUACGUGAGGCUGCAGUGAGGAAUAUUGGUCAAUGGCCGUAAGGCUGAACCAGCCAAGUCGCGUGAGGGAUGAAGGAUCUAUGGUUUGUAAACUUCUUUUAUAGGGGAGUAAAGGUAUCGACGUGUGGAUAUUUGCAUGUACCCUAUGAAUAAGCGUCGGCUAACUCCGUGCCAGCAGCCGCGGUAAUACGGAGGAUGCGAGCGUUAUCCGGAUUUAUUGGGUUUAAAGGGUGCGUAGGCGGUGAGGUAAGUCAGCGGUGAAAUGCCCCCGCUCAACGGGGUGAAGUGCCUUUGAUACUGCCUUGCGGGAAUGCGGAUGAGGUGGGAGGAAUGUGUGGUGUAGCGGUGAAAUGCAUAGAUAUCACACAGAACACCGAUUGCGAAGGCAUCUCACGAACCCGCGAUUGACGCUGAUGCACGAAAGCGUGGGUAUCAAACAGGAUUAGAUACCCCGGUAGUC
rnacentral:rRNA from 1 species